rnacentral:lncRNA from 1 species
AUGGCAUAUUUGCAGCAGAAUGGCAUCCAGAAAUCAUUGUAAUUGUGCCAGUAUUUCAUGCGCUUAUUUAAGAGUAUUUUCUGUUCAAGGAUUUCAAAACACUUCUCUAAUGGUACGGAGAAAAGUCAACAUGGUAGAGAAGUAGGGGGACUCAAAUUUCCCUUGUCUCUCAAACACAGCAAUGUUGAGGCCAGAAGACUUGGAAUUCCAGGAAUGUGGACUACAAAUGACAGAAACAUCUCCAGGGGCCAUGUGGACAACUUGGCAGGCCAUAGCAAGCUGGGGCAAGUUCAUCUAACACCUCCUUUGAAGACCAGCAGAUGUUUCAUAAAGGGUCUAUACGUGGGAGGUCUAAGUACAGAGCUUGACUGUGAACUUUCAUCAAGUUUGUCUGCAUUUCCUGAGGAGAGAACAUUGCUGAGAGAUGGACUAGAAUAUGGGGGCCCUAUCCUUGAUUACCCUACUCCUUCAAUCACAGACUCUUAUAAUUCUGGGACUGAAGUUUCCAGACAUAGUAUACCACUGAAGCAAUGCUCAGUUCAGUUAUUAAAUACCAGAGAAGAAGUAUAUAAAGGGGCAAGUCAUUUCAUCAAAUAAUAAAGCUGUCUGGUUAAUAUAAAAUGAAGAGGAGUAUUUGUUCAUUACAGAUUCAAUCUCAUCCUCCUUCCUACCUGCUCCUACCAUCUGUUCACAAACAGGCCUCCUUUCUCCUUCAUUUCCUAGGUUUCCUAAGAAUAUUUUCAAAG